ACGGAUGUAGCUCAAUGGUAGAGCUAUGGUCUCCAAAACCCAAAAAAAUAGUGAAGAAGGUUCGAUUCCUUCCAUCCGUG
rnacentral:tRNA from 1 species